AAAUCUCCAAAAAAUGUCUCAGUUCAGAUUGCAGGCUGCAACUCGCCUGCAUGAAGUCGGAAUUGCUAGUAAUCGUAGGUCAGCAUACUACGGUGAAUACGUUCCCGGGCCUUGUACACACCGCCCGUCAAACCAUGAGAGUUGGCAACACCCGAAGUCGGUAGUCUAACCGCAAGGAGGACGCCGCCGAAGGUGGGGUCGAUGAUUAGGGUUAAGUCGUAACAAGGUACC
rnacentral:rRNA from 1 species